UCUUCCCUCUGGCGGCGUGCCUAAUACAUGCAAGUCGAGCGAACGGACGAGAAGCUUGCUUCUCUGAUGUUAGCGGCGGACGGGUGAGUAACACGUGGAUAACCUACCUAUAAGACUGGGAUAACUUCGGGAAACCGUAGCUAAUACCGGAUAAUAUUUUGAACCGCAUGGUUCAAAGGUGAAAGACGGUCUUGCUGUCACUUAUAGAUGGAUCCGCGCUGCAUUAGCUAGUUGGUAAGGUAACGGCUUACCAAGGCAACGAUGCAUAGCCGACCUGAGAGGGUGAUCGGCCACACUGGAACUGAGACACGGUCCAGACUCCUACGGGAGGCAGCAGUAGGGAAUCUUCCGCAAUGGGCGAAAGCCUGACGGAGCAACGCCGCGUGAGUGAUGAAGGUCUUCGGAUCGUAAAACUCUGUUAUUAGGGAAGAACAUAUGUGUAAGUAACUGUGCACAUCUUGACGGUACCUAAUCAGAAAGCCACGGCUAACUACGUG
rnacentral:rRNA from 1 species